CUUUUUCUUUAUGUGUGAACAAUGACAAUUUCUCCAUUAUCAAAGAACCCGGGGGAGAAAAAAUCAGCCUGUCUUUGCAUAAAACACCACUCGUUUUUAUGCUUUAUAUAAAAUAAUAAUGAAUGUGGAAGGAUCGCUAAGUUCCAAAUCAAUCACAGUCUUUUGAUGUUAUUAUUAACUGCACAUACUCCAUUCUUGUGGUUUAUGGUAUCAUCAGAAUCCCUCAAUUGAUUUAUACCCUAGUGAUCAAGUUGUCUCUAUUCAUUAUCCCAUAUUUAACUAAUAUAUGCCUCAGAAGGAGUUGUCGAAAGACAAAGUUAAUUAUAGCAGAAAAAAAAAUAUCUAGGAGAAAAAAAAUCUAGUUUAAAUCAUGUCAUAUUUUAGUUUAGUGACAGCUCCCACAAAAGACCAUUUUAUCUGCUUCUGUAUUUUUUCUGUCUGAAUAAAUACUAUUGUAUUUCCCACCCAAGAAAGAAAAAAGACUUGUCUCUUCACUUUAGAAAGAUUUCUUAGAUAAUUAAUAUUUUACUAAGUAUUUUCAAUUCUUCAGCUGUGCUGAAAACCUGAUCCUGAAGAAUGGAAAAAUUUGACAACAGAUUAUUAACCUUAUCCAUCAGGCUCAAACAGCACCUUUCACGAGAGGAAAAUGUGAAAAAGUUUACAUCAGUGGAACACAGCUUCUCAAGUCAACUUGUUAGUGGGUCCAGAUCCUCAGAAUGACCAAAACUGCAACCUACAGGAAAAGAUGCUCCACAACCAUAACAAAAUAGCAGAUAAGAAGAGGAAGCCUGCCUUACUGAUGGAAAAUCCCAAGGACAGCAACAAGCCGGAAAAAUUGGCAGGAGCAGCAUACUUAGUUGUGAGAAAGGAAACCAUAUGAAGAGGGGACUAAAAUGCAACACCAUGCACACCUCAGUAGUGGCCCCAUUUACUGAUUCCAUCUUUCUGCAACUUCAUUUCAGUUGGUGAUACGGCAGGGCAAAUAAAGCUACUUUGAGCAAAGAUUAAUCCA
rnacentral:lncRNA from 1 species